UACAGAGGGUGCAAGCGUUGUUCGGAAUUAUUGGGCGUAAAGGGUGCGUAGGCGGUGCGGUAAGUCUGUAGUGAAAUCUCUGGGCUCAACUCAGAGUCUGCUAUAGAAACUGCCGUGCUUGAGUGUGGGAGAGGUGAGUGGAAUUCCCGGUGUAGCGGUGAAAUGCGUAGAUAUCGGGAAGAACACCCGUGGCUAAGGCGGCUCUCUAGUACGGUACUGACGCUGAGACGCGAAAGCGUGGGGAGCGAACAGG
rnacentral:rRNA from 1 species